rnacentral:rRNA from 1 species
AGUCGAGCGAGGUAGCAAUACCUAGCGGCAGACGGGUGCGUAACAUGUGGGAAUCUGCCUUUUGGUUCGGAAUAACACGGGGAAAACUGUGCUAAUACCGGAUAAGUCCUUACGGAGAAAGUUUUAAUGCCAAAAGAUGAGCCCGCACUUGAUUAGUUUGUUGGUAGGGUAAUGGCCUACCAAGACUAUGAUCAAUAGCUGAUUUGAGAGGAUGAUCAGCCACACUGGGACUGAGAUACGGCCCAGACUCC